GUGAGGAAUUUUCCGCAAUGGGCGAAAGCCUGACGGAGCAAUGCCGCGUGAAGGAUGAAGGCCUAUGGGUUGUAAACUUCUUUUCUCAGAAAAGAAUUAUGACGGUAUCCGAGGAAUAAGCAUCGGCUAACUCUGUGCCAGCAGCCGCGGUAAGACAGAGGAUGCAAGCGUUAUCCGGAAUGAUUGGGCGUAAAGCGUCUGUAGGUUGUUUAAAAAGUAUUCUGUCAAAGAUUAGGGCUUAACCCUAGAUAGGCAGAAUAAACUUUUAAGCUAGAGUUUGGUAGAGGCAGAGGGAAUUCCCGGUGGAGCGGUGAAAUGCGUAGAUAUCGGGAGGAACACCAAAGGCGAAGGCACUCUGCUGGGCCAAUACUAACACUGAGAGACGAAAGCGAGGGGAGCAAAUGGGAUUAGAAACCCGAGUAGUCC
rnacentral:rRNA from 1 species